UGGGGAAUAUUGGACAAUGGGCGCAAGCCUGAUCCAGCCAUGCCGCGUGAGUGAUGAAGGCCCUAGGGUUGUAAAGCUCUUUCACCGGUGAAGAUAAUGACGGUAACCGGAGAAGAAGCCCCGGCUAACUUCGUGCCAGCAGCCGCGGUAAUACGAAGGGGGCUAGCGUUGUCCGGAGUUACUGGGCGUAAAGCGCACGUAGGCGGAGUUUUAAGUCAGGGGUGAAAUCCCGGGGCUCAACCCCGGAACUGCCUUUGAUACUGGAAGUCUUGAGGAUGGUAGAGGUGGGUGGAAUUCCGAGUGGAGAGGUGAAAUUCGUAGAUAUUCGGAGGAACACCAGUGGCGAAGGCGGCUCACUGGAGCAUUACUGACGCUGAGGUGGGAAAGCGUGGGGAGCAAACAGG
rnacentral:rRNA from 1 species